AAUGUACACACCGCCCGUCGCUAUCACCGAUUGAGUGUAAAGGUGAACCUUCUCGAUAGACGCAAGUUUAGAAAUUAAGUAAACCUUUGCACUUAGAGGAAAUAAAAGUCGUAACAAGGUUUCCGUAGGUGAACCUGCG
rnacentral:rRNA from 1 species